rnacentral:lncRNA from 1 species
UGCUUUAUAUAAUAAGCCAAAAUAAAUAAAAUGAAACAAACAUUUAAUUAAACAAAUUUAUAAAUAAAAAAACCUCAAUCAUAAGCUAUUAGUGGGAAUCCAAAUUACAAACGUGUCGUAAGUUUCCAUAGAUUCCGAUGUAACCUUCGAUUCACCACGAACAAACGACAAAUCAACCAUCACCAAAAAUCUGUGUUAGCAGCCGUAGUCACUGUUCAAACUUGAAUGUCCAAGUAUUUUGCCCAAAAAAGUAGUGCUUCAAUAGCCAAUUUUAAAAGGAAGAAGAGGAAAAAAUUGAAUCUGAUUAUUCAUUGCUUCUUUACGCGGACAAUGAUUGUGAUACUGAUCUGGAGGUUUAAGAAGGUGAUACGGAUCUGGAGGUUGAAGAAGAUGAAAAGUUCGUCUCUUUCGCACCCUAAUUUCAUCUACCUGUUCUUCCUCCCUAUUAAAAAAAACUUCAUACCCAAACGAAACUCUAGUUUUUUGUAGUUUAUUGUAUGAUUUAAUGAUUUGAUCUUGAUCUUCAAUGUUUGGCUAAGAGGAGUUUUUGAUCGAUUUCUGAUGAUUUUAGAUUUUGUUGUUUUUGAUUAGUAUUAAUGUUUAAUGUUGUUGAAGUUUCUGUUAAGGACCAAGAUGCAAAUGUUGAAGUUUUUGUUGAGGACCAAGAUAUGAAUGUUGUGGAUGUUUCUGUUGAUGCGCAAUCUGUUGAUGCGGCUGUUGUUGAUGCAUCUGUUCUGGAGCAAGAUGCAACUGUUGGUGAUCCAUUUGUUGAGGAACGAGCAAAAUGAUACAGAAAGGAUGUAUAUGUUGUUUGACAAAUUUGCCAUUUCAUAUAUAAUAAUAAUUGUGUAGUCAAACAUUAAAUACUCUUUUGUUAGUUACCCAUUAGGUGAACAAUGGCCAAUUGAGUGGAAGUCAAAAAAAUUAAUAGUUUAAUCAUUUAAUUGACAAAAUUGAAAGGUGGAUCACCAAAGUGGAAUAUGACCAAUAGUUUAGGAUAAUAAAACAUAUUUAAGCCAAAAAAAAUA